rnacentral:rRNA from 1 species
CCUACGGGAGGCAGCAGUGGGGAAUAUUGCACAAUGGGGGAAACCCUGAUGCAGCGACGCCGCGUGAGUGAAGAAGUAAUUCGGUAUGUAAAGCUCUAUCAUCAGGGAAGAAAAUGACGGUACCUGAGUAAGAAGCCCCGGCUAACUACGUGCCAGCAGCCGCGGUAAUACGUAGGGGGCAAGCGUUAUCCGGAUUUACUGGGUGUAAAGGGAGCGUAGACGGAAGUGCAAGUCUGGAGUGAAAGGCGGGGGCUCAACCCCCGGACUGCUCUGGAAACUGUACGGCUGGAGUGCAGGAGAGGUAAGUGGAAUUCCUAGUGUAGCGGUGAAAUGCGUAGAUAUUAGGAGGAACACCAGUGGCGAAGGCGGCUUACUGGACUGUAACUGACGUUGAGGCUCGAAAGCGUGGGGAGCAAACAGGAUUAGAUACCCCAGUAGUC